rnacentral:rRNA from 1 species
UACGUAGGGUGCAAGCGUUAAUCGGAAUUACUGGGCGUAAAGCGUGCGCAGGCGGUUGUGCAAGACAGAUGUGAAAUCCCCGGGCUUAACCUGGGAAUCGCGCUUGAAACUAGCGGGCUUGAGUGUGGCAGAGGGGGGUGGAAUUCCACGUGUAGCAGUGAAAUGCGUAGAGAUGUGGAGGAACACCGAUGGCGAAGGCAGCCCCCUGGGUCAACACUGACGCUCAUGCACGAAAGCGUGGGGAGCAAACAGG